GCGCAGUGCCGCUCCGUCUAUCGCGACACAGCGCCCGCCGCCCGCUCAGGCGCCAUUCCAGCCUCGGCGCCGGAACGCUUCCGCGGCCACCGCCUUUGAGCGGGGCGAGAGAGGGAGCCCCCAUUUCCCAGAAACAGAGCCGUCGGUGAGGAUCCCUGCUUCGCCUUCGGCAGGCGUUCCGUGUGCACGAGGCGGCGAAGAAGGCCGGCGAUGGACCGCGAUGGGCCGGACGCCAUUCGGCGGGAGGCAGAGGUGGAGCGUGGCCGCUACCUGAGCCGCCGCGCCGUGGCCCAGGAGCAGCUGGCGCAAAUAAAGGAGCACAAGGAUCAAGCAGAUCUGGCUAAGCAGGAAAAGAGAAGAGAAGGGGAACGAAUACAGCAAUCAAGCCAAUUGUACCAACUGGAAAUUCAGAGAGAUAAAGAGAAGGAUCAGGAGAAAAAAGUUGAAUUCCAGAGGCAGCAUCAUGAAUAUGUAGCUGAACAGAAAAUAUUUAAAGCUGAAGAGAAACAAAAAGAAGACAAAGAUGAUGAUCGGAUUAAGGCUUAUAUUAAAGGAAAAGAAAUGAUGGCUGAUCUGACAAGAGAAAAAUAUGCGGAGGCUAACAGGAUGAUAGAGGAGCAUAAGGACAAAGCUUUUGAACAAUUAAAUGCACAGAUGAAUGAGAAAUUUAAGAUUGAAGAUGAUCGUCUUGCUAGAGGAGCUGCAGAGGUAGAAGUUGAGUACCAAAUAAAAGAUAAAGAGAAAGAAAUGAAAAAAAAGGCUGCUCUUGAAUCCAUUGAAGAAAACAGAGUCACUGUGAUGAAUUUAAAAGAGGAAAAGAAGAGAGAGGAAAAAGAAGAGGAUGAGAAGGAUCGUAAUCAGUGGAUGACAGAAAAUGACGUCUACUUGGAAAUGGAAAAAGCCAAGAAACAAAGACAGCGUGAUGCAAGCAUGGAAAUACAGAAAUUUCAGCUCCAGCAAAUGGCUGAAAAGCAGGCAAGAAAAGAGCAGGAAAAGCAAGCAGACUUGGACUACAAUGCUCAGAGAGAGGCUGCUUUCCAUCAGGAUCAAGCAUUUCGGAGAUAAAGGUAGUGAGUAACUGAAUCGGUGCCAUUACUGGAUGUAACUUCUAUUCUCCAAACAUUAAAUGAAGGAACAAGAUGUGGGCUUCCUAAUUAGGACAACUGCAAGAAUUGUGGAGUGGAUAACCUGCAGUACUAAAAACAGUAAAAAUGGGGGGGUGAGUGGGUGAAGAUGGUUGAUGCAAUGCCCUCCUGCCUCAUAUAUGAGCCCCCUGCUUGCUCAGGACUGAGAAAACAUUUGGCAUAUUGCCAUGACUUUUAAAGCCUGCUUUGGCCCUCAAAGCUCUGCCUGAGGGCAGGGCCAAGAACUCUCCUCAGGGUCAGCACAGACUGUUAUUGUCUUGGUCAGUCCUGCUGUGGUCUGGGCGGCUGUGCACUUUUUGGAUAGAAGAACAUGGCUGAGUGGAGCUGACUGACUCUGGACCCAUGUCAAUUAGCAUGGCCCAUUAUUCUGUAAUGUGAGCCAAAGCACAGUUAGUAGAAACAAUGAAGACUUGUUUCAGAACCUCACCUCUGACCUAAAGUAAAAGACUAACAUUGCUACACUAUCAACUAAAAGUCACACAAGACUUCUUUCCAACUAUCUUGGAGUAGUUAAUUUUGAAAAUUACAUAUUACAAAAAGAGACAUGGCAAUUAACUUGUAAGAUUGUCCCUCUGUACUUUUUUCCUUCCUUCACUAAUGAAAAAUUUAUUUCCCUUCUCUUUGAGCCAGUGCUCAUUUUAUUACAUCAAGCUUUUUUUCAGCAAGCAGAAAGAAUGGAAACUUUUAUAAAAGCCUUUUGAUGGCAGAAGCUGGAGCCCUAAGAAGUAUUGACUACAGCAGGAGUGGUGCUGAAACCUGCAGAGCUCGAUAAUGCUCCAAAUGAAUCCUUAAGUGCAAAUUUGCACAUGCUCACUACUAUGCAAUUGAAACACAUUUUACCACUACAGAAGCAUCUACAAAGGAGUCAGAAGCUAGCCACUCACUCCUCCCAAGUUCUGUGUGCCUGCAAAACCAAUCAGUGCCUGAGAGCAGAAGCUAACUGUGGACCAAGUUACAAGACAUGCUGUUUGCUGCAACCUGCCUAUAACACAAGCUCAAGAAACAAGUGCUAUAGCUUGCAACUGUACUUGAACUAGUCUAACUUUAUUAUGGAACAAAGCAGUAUUCUUUUCAGAAAGUCAAAUGGUAACAACCAAAGGUAAACUAUCAGUUCAUCUGUACUGUACUCCUUGAAUAUUCCUGGGCCUCCAGGCUUAACUCAUACCUUCUGUUUUGACUUGAAAAAAAAAAUCUUACUCAACAAAUAAAAUUGGAUACAUCUGUCUGUAACAAUAUAA